GAAUGAAGGAAGCAUGUUAAUGUGCACAGAAAUUGAUUUGGGUCUCUAGGUCUAUCCUCUCUGAUGCCUUUCAGCUUUGAUUUAGGGGCAUGGUUCCGCAGCAAACGU